CCUUUGGGUAUCUCAUAGCGUUUUACUCAUUUCCUAGCAUGCACUAGGCUGGGUUCCCACUGCUGUUCCCGUCCAAGGGCCCAACAGGCCAGAUGGUAUUUAUAUCAAUUUUCUGUCCCCCUUUUAUAUUUUUCUAAAUUUGGAAUCCAAAUAAAAGCAUAAACAAUGUCUUUAUUCCAUAUAAUAUUUGUGCAUUAAGAACAAGAUUGCAUAGGUGAAUAUAAUACAGUCAUUCUGAAUACAGUCUGAGUACAUGCUCAAGCCUAAGAGACCGACCUAGCAGCUGAGCAACCGCAGGGCAACAACCAUGCAUCUUCAUCCCCACAACUUUAGUAUUUUUUGCCAAAGGGAGAUUUGAGUAAAGGAGAAUGCCGUGAGCGCAAGAUCCGUGCGUAAGGGCUGCUGUCUGUCGAGCUUUGGCAGCUUUAACUUCCUGGAGCUGCUGAGAGGAGGCAGAGGCUGCCAACCUUUGUGACCGCCGGAGGGACAGUUCACACCCCCCUGACUGUUGUGCCACUGGCUGCUGUUUGGCUUCCUGCAAGAGAGUUUCUAGCUCUUCAAUUU
rnacentral:lncRNA from 1 species